UUUUCUUAGUUUGUCAGCACUCUGUAUGAGAACCUGGAAGAUGGGUGAAUUUCUGAGUCUCCAUGGCCUGAUGAGUGGGUUGAGAGAAAAAAGAUGAGAAGUGAAAAAUAAGUGUGUUAUUGUCAUCAUCAUCUGCCUUUAUGCACAGAAUUAAGAGCAGAAUGCACAGGCUCCUAUGAGAGUUCCCCCUGGCUACAGUUCAUUUACAGCUGAUUUUAGAGACAGUACAAGAAGAACACUUUGAAUCAGAGCGUGUCUGCUACCUGUCUGGCUGAAACAAGAAAGUGCAUAAAUCCAGCACCUCUUGAGCCUGUAAAUGUGAUCUACUGCAGCUGACCUGGAAUAUUAUCUGCUAUUGAGAUGUGUGUUUGUACAGUCCAGCCUGUAAAUGAUUCUGUGAUGCUAUCUUUUGAGCAGUGCAUGAGAGGGA
rnacentral:lncRNA from 1 species